UCUCGGCAAAUUAUCCUCAUAAGUUUGACAAUAAGAGGAACCAUUUAUGAAAAAUCAAUUAAUGUAAAAAUUAAAAAAAUCAACAUAUGAUGGUGUCACAAAAUCGGAGGCCACGACUGUUUACUAAAAACACAAUUCAGAGCAAUGAUGCAAAUCAUAGUAUUCUGGAUGAAAUUUGCCCGAUGCCAUUAACAUAAAAAAGGUUAUAGUUUUACUGUUACUAAUUGAAAGUCUGGUUAAUAGCGGUCUUAACUAUGAGGAUCCUAAGGUAGCAAAAUCAAUUGGCCAUUAAAUGUGGUCUGGUAUCAAUAGUGUAACGAUGGUCUCACUGUCUCUACAACUUGCUCAGUGAAAUUGAAUUAUCCGUGCAGAUGCGGAUUACCUCCAGGUGGACGGGAAGACCCUAUGCAGCUUCUACU
rnacentral:rRNA from 1 species